UUAAAGUCUAGCCUGCCCACUGAUAUUUUUAAAGGGCCGCGGUAUUCUAACCGUGCGAAGGUAGCAUAAUCAAUAGUCUUUUAAUUGAGGACUCGUAUGAAAGGUUGGACGAGAAACAAACUGUUUACUUGGAUAAAAUUUGAAUUUAACUUUUAAGUGAAAAGGCUUAAAUGAAACAAGAAGACGAUAAGACCCUAUAAAUCUUUAUAUUAUUCUUAACUUUUGAAAACUAUAUAAGUAAAUUUGAUUAAGUUUGGAAAGUAUUCUAUUGGGGCGAUAUGAAUAGAUAAUUAUCUAUUCAAUGAUUUUACAAAAUAUUUUUGAAUUAAAAUUUAAGAUCCUCUUUAGGGAUUUUUAGAUUAAGUUACUUUAGGGAUAACAGCGUUAUUUUAUUUGAGAGUUCUUAUUGAAAAUAAAGUUUGCGACCUCGAUGUUGAAUUAAAAUUUCUUUAUGGUGCAGCAGCUAUAGGAGAAAGUCUGUUCGACUUUUAAAAUUUUACAUGAUUUGA
rnacentral:rRNA from 1 species